GAUCCUGGCUCAGGAUGAGCGCUAGCUACAGGCUUAACACAUGCAAGUCGAGGGGCAGCAUGAACUUAGCUUGCUAAGUUUGAUGGCGACCGGCGCACGGGUGAGUAACACGUAUCCAACCUUCCGUUUACUCAGGGAUAGCCUUUCGAAAGAAAGAUUAAUACCUGAUAGUAUGGUGAGAUUGCAUUNAAUAACCACUAAGUAAUUAUUGUAA
rnacentral:rRNA from 1 species